CCAUGCCGCGUGUGUGAAGAAGGCCUUCGGGUUGUAAAGCACUUUAGUAGGGAGGAAGGUAGUGUAGUUAACACCUGCAUUAUUUGACGUUACCUACAGAAGAAGCACCGGCUAACUCCGUGCCAGCAGCCGCGGUAAUACGGAGGGUGCGAGCGUUAAUCGGAAUUACUCCCGUAAAGCGCAUGCAGGCGGCCUGUUAAGUCAGAUGUGAAAGCCCGGGGCUUAACCUCGGAAUUGCAUUUGAAACUGGCAGGCUAGAGUCUUGUAGAGGGGGGUAGAAUUUCAGGUGUAGCGGUGAAAUGCGUAGAGAUCUGAAGGAAUACCAGUGGCGAAGGCGGCCCCCUGGACAAAGACUGACGCUCAGAUGCGAAAGCGUGGGGAGCAAACAGGAUUAGAUACCCUGGUAGUCCACGGUAAACGAUGUCUACUUGGAGGUUGUGGCCUUGAGCCGUGGCUUUCGGAGCUAACGCGUUAAGUAGACCGCCUGGGGAGUACGGUCGCAAGAUUAAAACUCAAAUGAAUUGACGGGGGCCCGCACAAGCGGUGGAGCAUGUGGUUUAAUUCGAUGCAACGCGAAGAACCUUACCUACUCUUGACAUCCAGAGAACUUGAAGAGAUUCGAGUGUGCCUUCGGGAACUCUGAGACAGGUGCUGCAUGGCUGUCGUCAGCUCGUGUUGUGAAAUGUUGGGUUAAGUCCCGCAACGAGCGCAACCCUUAUCCUUGUUUGCCAGCACUUCGG
rnacentral:rRNA from 1 species